UCGCACACCCGGUCCCAGCCGUGGAGGGAGGAGGCUGGUGUGUUAUUUUUGUGUUUUUUGAAGCGAAUUAUCCUGUUGCCGAGGGAGCCAUGCACCUGGAAACGGCUGGGGAAGGAGACGGUGGCUGAGUGGUUAGCGUGCCGGUCCUGCGUUCACUGCGUCAUGGAUGAUGAGGGUUUGAAUCAGUCGCUGCCACAGACUACUUGUCCUGAAGACCACCACCAUCAUCCUGGACUGUAUGGGACUGUCCAAGGGAAAGCAAGAUGGGGCCGCUAUAAACACUUGCCGGCUUGGGCCCACCACCAGGCCCAGCCAAGGGAGGUUGGUGUAGCAGUGCCGGGAGGUUCCAUAACACAGGGCACUCCUCACCUCAACAACAGUCUCUUCACCGACAAGUAAUUCUUCACCAACAAGCUUUUCAGCAGCUUGGAGGAAUAGAGAAAAGAGGAGGAGGAGGAAGAAGAGGAGGAGGAAGAAGAGGAGGAGGAGGACUUUGAAGACUGACAGACAGACAUCAUUCCAGUGAUGAAAGAGGAAGAGGAAGAGGAGGAGGAGGAGGACACAGGAAUUUCUUGAAUUGAACGGACCUCUCGGUCUGCUCAAGGGACACCGCACACUCUGGAAGAAGAAAGAACACCAAGAUGUCAAGUUCCUGCAGAAUCAGCCUCUUAGUGAAGGAAAUGUGCUCUAUUUAUUUAAUAAAUAAUUGACAAAAAA